ACCUCCCACCCGUGUUUAUUGUACCUUGUUGCUUCGGUGCGCCCGCCUCACGGCCGCCGGGGGGCUUCUGCCCCCGGGCCCGCGCCCACCGAAGACACCAUUGAACUCUGUCUGAAGAUUGCAGUCUGAGCAUAAACUAAAUAAGUUAAAACUUUCAACAACGGAUCUCUUGGUUCCGGCAUCGAUGAAGAACGCAGCGAAAUGCGAUAACUAAUGUGAAUUGCAGAAUUCAGUGAAUCAUCGAGUCUUUGAACGCACAUUGCGCCCCCUGGUAUUCCGGGGGGCAUGCCUGUCCGAGCGUCAUUGCUGCCCUCAAGCACGGCUUGUGUGUUGGGCUCCGUCCCCCCGGGGACGGGCCCGAAAGGCAGCGGCGGCACCGAGUCCGGUCCUCGAGCGUAUGGGGCUUUGUCACCCGCUCUGUAGGCCCGGCCGGCGCCAGCCGACAACCCAUCAUCCUUUUCAGGUUGACCUCGGAUCAGGUAGGGAUACCCGCUGAACUUAAGCAUAUCAAAAGCCCGGAGGGAA
rnacentral:rRNA from 1 species